rnacentral:misc_RNA from 1 species
GUGUCUAUGGACAACCCAUCCUCUUUCAAAGCGAUUUCUACAUUUUCUAGGUUAAAUUACAAAAGGGUACACCAACACCAACACCGACCCACCGCCCCACCCAUGCACAAACGCGGCGCUGUCGCCUCCUCACCUGCCCUCUCUCUCCUCUCUUUUUAAGCGUAUUCUCGUCGACUGUUACUUCAUUCGCGUGCGGCAACUCCUCUUCUGUUUUAGCUGUCUGCUCACUCCGCUGUUGCACCGCGCCCGCUCUCGAGCCACUGUCUUUCCGCUUCAUCCGUCACACACACACACACACACACACACACUUCAUCUGCAAGGGGCACAGGCGCAAGAUGCUCCUCACCUAUCAGUUUGCCCCCAUCUGGGCUAUGCUGGUUUCCAUCGUAACCUUCCUUGUCUUGCGUCACAACGACCCUGUAGACCUGAACGAGUACAAGGAAAAGGCGCACGGCAUUCCACCGGUGGCUUGCUGCUCGGCAAUUGCGAUCCCCCUCGUUGUUCUCUUCGUCUACAACGCGGCACUAAGGAUGGGACCGCAGCCGUCGUGCAGCGGCACGAAAAAGUAAGUCCGCACGCUCUCCGCCCUAUUCGCUCUUGCCCAUUCUACCACGCGCGCUGUGGGCGGCCCAAUGCAGCUACACGUGAGAAGGCGUGCGACUGUGAGUGUCAUAGUUCGCUGGUGCUCUGAAAAAUACGUUUUUAACACGUCGUUCCACCACGAACAAGCCAGCAAAAGUAUACGCAAGCAGCCGCAGCUCACCUACGCCUGCUGCUUGACCUCUGCGCCACGGAGCCGGGCCAACUAACACCGCUUGGCGUCGUUUAGCUCCCUGCAACUCCACUGCACACAGCGCAGGCCAGAUCCAGGAUUACGCCCAACACCACUGCAACCCAGCAAAACAAAACGACAAAAAAGAGGUGGAUGCGUCACUAUUUGAAUUGUGGGCAAGAUGCAUAGCGGGUUGGUACAAACGUGAGCGUGACCGCAAGCCGAUUCGGCACAGCGGCUGCCCAGUCCAGCCCGCCGACACCAAGAGACCGUCGCCGUACCCGUGGCCAGGCUGCCGGAUGUUGGCCUCCCCACAAAGACUGUAUACCGGGGCCUGAUACGACGCACUGAGGUAGCCCGCAUCAUCAUGGUUUUUCUUUUCUUCUCUCCCAGAAGAACAAAUGAAGAUUCAUCGAGCAGCACUUGCGGCAAUAUCGACUGCCUGUGUGAGUGUGAAGGCGACAACAGCGCUGCCGUGGUGUGAGGACAAAGAUAGCGGAAGCUAUGGGGUGCAUGAGUACAGCAGCAGCGCUCCUUUCUUCUCCAUGCACGCUGCAUCUCUCUCCGGUGUUUAUCCCUACACGGCCGUCAACUGCCCUCCUUCCCUCUCUGCAAACUGUGAUGCGUCAAAAGGGAGAAGAAACGACAAGAUAAAGAAGAAAAGACAAGGCAAAGAAGAGGGAAGGCUGCACUGUAGCGGCGCUCAUGGCUGCUUCGCUCUUGACUGGAGCGGUGUGCAUGCGAGUGCCGGCGUGACGCUAUUCACUGUGUAGCGGUACCAACUCUUUUCUGUUUCUGUCUCUGUGUGCUGCUGCUCCCCAUCGCUUUAGAACUUCUGUGCCUCACGCCACAUGUACGAUAUUGGGCAAAGACGAGCGGAGAAAGCUGCCGUGUGUGUGUGUGUGUGUGUCUGUAUGUGCACGCGUGCAGGUCUCUGUGUGAGUGCAUACAAGUGAUUUGAUGAGGCGUACAUGCCCUGCUAGGUUUGACCUGAAGACGCAGCCCUUCGCUCUCUCUUGAUUUUUCAGCACACCAGCAUAUGAGCAGGCACGGUGCCAUGCGCACAUGUGGUGGUCAUGAUCCGGCAAAAUC